CUGCGUACCUUUUGUAUAAUGGGUCAGCGACUUAUAUUCUGUAGCAAGGUUAACCGAAUAGGGGAGCCGAAGGGAAACCGAGUCUUAACUGGGCGUUAAGUUGCAGGGUAUAGACCCGAAACCCGGUGAUCUAGCCAUGGGCAGGUUGAAGGUUGGGUAACACUAACUGGAGGACCGAACCGACUAAUGUUGAAAAAUUAGCGGAUGACUUGUGGCUGGGGGUGAAAGGCCAAUCAAACCGGGAGAUAGCUGGUUCUCCCCGAAAGCUAUUUAGGUAGCGCCUCGUGAAUUCAUCUCCGGGGGUAGAGCACUGUUUCGGCAAGGGGGUCAUCCCGACUUACCAACCCGAUGCAAACUGCGAAUACCGGAGAAUGUUAUCACGGGAGACACACGGCGGGUGCUAACGUCCGUCGUGAAGAGGGAAACAACCCAGACCGCCAGCUAAGGUCCCAAAGUCAUGGUUAAGUGGGAAACGAUGUGGGAAGGCCCAGACAGCCAGGAUGUUGGCUUAGAAGCAGCCAUCAUUUAAAGAAAGCGUAAUAGCUCACUGGUCGAGUCGGCCUGCGCGGAAGAUGUAACGGGGCUAAACCAUGCACCGAAGCUGCGGCAGCGACACUGUGUGUUGUUGGGUAGGGGAGCGUUCUGUAAGCCUGUGAAGGUGUGCUGUGAGGCAUGCUGGAGGUAUCAGAAGUGCGAAUGCUGACAUAAGUAACGAUAAAGCGGGUGAAAAGCCCGCUCGCCGGAAGACCAAGGGUUCCUGUCCAACGUUAAUCGGGGCAGGGUGAGUCGACCCCUAAGGCGAGGCCGAAAGGCGUAGUCGAUGGGAAACAGGUUAAUAUUCCUGUACUUGGUGUUACUGCGAAGGGGGGACGGAGAAGGCUAUGUUGGCCGGGCGACGGUUGUCCCGGUUUAAGCGUGUAGGCUGGUUUUCCAGGCAAAUCCGGAAAAUCAAGGCUGAGGCGUGAUGACGAGGCACUACGGUGCUGAAGCAACAAAUGCCCUGCUUCCAGGAAAAGCCUCUAAGCAUCAGGUAACAUCAAAUCGUACCCCAAACCGACACAGGUGGUCAGGUAGAGAAUACCAAGGCGCUUGAGAGAACUCGGGUGAAGGAACUAGGCAAAAUGGUGCCGUAACUUCGGGAGAAGGCACGCUGAUAUGUAGGUGAAGUCCCUCGCGGAUGGAGCUGAAAUCAGUCGAAGAUACCAGCUGGCUGCAACUGUUUAUUAAAAACACAGCACUGUGCAAACACGAAAGUGGACGUAUACGGUGUGACGCCUGCCCGGUGCCGGAAGGUUAAUUGAUGGGGUCAGCGCAAGCGAAGCUCUUGAUCGAAGCCCCGGUAAACGGCGGCCGUAACUAUAACGGUCCUAAGGUAGCGAAAUUCCUUGUCGGGUAAGUUCCGACCUGCACGAAUGGCGUAAUGAUGGCCAGGCUGUCUCCACCCGAGACUCAGUGAAAUUGAACUCGCUGUGAAGAUGCAGUGUACCCGCGGCAAGACGGAAAGACCCCGUGAACCUUUACUAUAGCUUGACACUGAACAUUGAGCCUUGAUGUGUAGGAUAGGUGGGAGGCUUUGAAGUGUGGACGCCAGUCUGCAUGGAGCCGACCUUGAAAUACCACCCUUUAAUGUUUGAUGUUCUAACGUGGACCCGUGAUCCGGGUUGCGGACAGUGUCUGGUGGGUAGUUUGACUGGGGCGGUCUCCUCCUAAAGAGUAACGGAGGAGCACGAAGGUUGGCUAAUCCUGGUCGGACAUCAGGAGGUUAGUGCAAUGGCAUAAGCCAGCUUGACUGCGAGCGUGACGGCGCGAGCAGGUGCGAAAGCAGGUCAUAGUGAUCCGGUGGUUCUGAAUGGAAGGGCCAUCGCUCAACGGAUAAAAGGUACUCCGGGGAUAACAGGCUGAUACCGCCCAAGAGUUCAUAUCGACGGCGGUGUUUGGCACCUCGAUGUCGGCUCAUCACAUCCUGGGGCUGAAGUAGGUCCCAAGGGUAUGGCUGUUCGCCAUUUAAAGUGGUACGCGAGCUGGGUUUAGAACGUCGUGAGACAGUUCGGUCCCUAUCUGCCGUGGGCGCUGGAGAACUGAGGGGGGCUGCUCCUAGUACGAGAGGACCGGAGUGGACGCAUCACUGGUGUUCGGGUUGUCAUGCCAAUGGCACUGCCCGGUAGCUAAAUGCGGAAGAGAUAAGUGCUGAAAGCAUCUAAGCACGAAACUUGCCCCGAGAUGAGUUCUCCCUGACCCUUUAAGGGUCCUGAAGGAACGUUGAAGACGACGACGUUGAUAGGCCGGGUGUGUAAGCGCAGCGAUGCGUUGAGCUAACCGGUACUAAUGAACCGUGAGGCUUAACCUU
rnacentral:rRNA from 1 species